UUCAGCACAACCAAAAUCGUAGAAGAUUACAAACAUUAAGUUUAAAAUUGAUUGAUGGAAAUGAUGGUCAGAGGAAUAAUGUCGAUCGAGAUGACGAUGAUAAUAACGAUGAUCGUCGCAACAACGAUGAUUUUGGGGCUUUAAGGGAAUUGGUUAAAGAGUCAUAUGACGUAGAUGGACCUCAGGUUACUCCGAAGAAUACAUACUCAAAUGAGGCGAAGG